GUCGCAGGGCUCGGCUUUGGCACCCUCUCUUCUUCCGUAGCUUUGGUCAACAGUUACAGUGACGAUAGCCUCAUUCGGGGGUGACUAAUGGGCCCGUUUUGUUGUUUGCAUUAGCAGAAGGACCACAGCCAUCGCCCGUCUCCCAUCUCCAAGAUGGCGGAGGCAGCUUCAAUCUCACCUCUCGCGAGGAGUUCCUCCCCCUGUCUCUGAUUAGCCCCGAGGUCAGAGGUAUCGCACGGUUCUGUGAGCGCCCGGGUGAUAGAUUUUUAGCAGUGAAAGAAGACGCACAGACGUCUCUUUUCGGCUGCGGAGGACAUCUUGAGUCUUCAGCCACACGAGGCCCACCGUGAAUCUGAACUAAGUGCUCCAGGAUCCUCUCUGAAUUCCUUGCCUCAGCAACCUGGCUUAGGCCUGUGUGUUGCUUAUUCUUAUUCCUCCAGAUUAAAUAAGUAAACAGAAUUCAGGACAAGCAAUGGCAACCCGAUUGAGGAGACCAAAGUGACGUAUGUCAAUUAAUCAGAAGUCCUUGCUUGGCACGUUAUAUAUUGGCCACCAGCCUGCACUGAAAACCGUGUCCUGCACAUCAAACGCUCCAGUUCUUAGACAUGUCCUCAUAUGCACAUACUUUCCUCUUCCUCAACUUCCCCCUCCAUAAGAAGAGAUAUCUACCUAAAUAGAACGGUGAGAGAGAUGAAUCAAAACCUUUCAUUUGGGUCAAGUUCCUCUAGGAAAAAGGCCUCCCAAGACUGCUGGAGAAUUGCAUCAGCUACUCUGGGUCACAAACGCAGACGAGGUGCUGUCUGCUGCUGCUAUUACUGUUACCUCGUGACGGGGGGCAGAGCUGCGGUCCUGGACAUAGGAAACAAGCUGAAGUACUUCUGACACACAUGGUAUUAAUAUGCCAGAACUACUAUUCAAAGAAACACAUUUUGGUUUACUGAGAAGCUGAAUAACUAACUUGAAAAAAACAAAAACAAAAAAACGCUUUGAACUUACAGACACCAAACGAAAGUGGCUAAUGAGUAGAGCAGGCUAUCAGAAGCCGUCUACCCUGUUACCUCAGACCCAGAGGGAAAACCAAGAACACAAUGCAGCCACCUUUCCACCGGCAGGACUGGCCAUUCAGUAAUUACAAAGGCCUGGGUUGGCACCUGCCAGACCUCACUGACUCCUAGCCCCUGCCCAGAGUGCUGCGAGAGGAUGACAGAGGCCGCAUCCAGACGCGGAAGGAAAGCUCAGAUUGAUUAGGGCUACCUGCCAGCAGCUUCUGAGGAAGGUAUCUGCCUGCUCUGAUGGCCAACUGAUGUUCUUUCUGAUUGUGGUUAUUUUGCUGUUUCUUAGCAUUUACAACAGAGAAUUAAAAGACUGAACCUGAAAUACAUGCUUUACAAUUUAUCAGUUACUUAGCAAAACCUUAGGAAGAGGUUGAAAUUAAUGGAUGAAGCAAUUAUGGGAUUGGAUUAU